rnacentral:rRNA from 1 species
CCUACGGGUGGCAGCAGUGAGGAAUAUUCGUCAAUGGACGAGAGUCUGAACCAGCCAAGUAGCGUGAAUGAUGACUGCCCUCUGGGUGGUAAACUUCUUUUAUAUGGGAAUAAAAUGUUCCACGUGUGGGGUUUUGUAUGUACCAUAUGAAUAAGGAUCGGCUAACUCCGUGCCAGCAGCCGCGGUAAUACGGAGGAUCCGAUCGUUAUCCGGAUUUAUUGGGUUUAAAGGGAGCGUAGGUGGAUUGUUAAGGCAGUUGUGAAAGUUUGCGGCUCAACCGUAAAAUUGCAGUUGAAACUGGCAGGCUUGAGUGCAGGAGAGGUGGGCGGAAUUCGGGGUGUAGCGGUGAAAUGCGUAGAUAUCACGAAGAACUCCGAUGGCGAAGGCAGUUCACUGGACUGCAACUGACACUGAGGCUCGAAAGUGUGGGGAUCAAACAGGAUUAGAUACCCUUGUAGUC